CCCGUUCCGCCUAGAAACAAGGCGGUUUUCCGGCCGGCAGAAGGUUCAGCGUUUGGCGGCAAGGUCUGGCAUCACAAUUACGAAGGUAAGUAUGCAUGGGCUAUUUUGGUGUUCAUUUCAAAGCUGAUUACUAUCUUUUUAGUCAGGUUGUAGGUUUCUCCGCAGUCAAGGUGCCGAGGAGUUUCAGAGGCAGAAGAUUAACAAUUCUCUGGUUUGAGUUGUUGCUAUUGGUUUUUUUUCUGCACUCAUGAGAGAGUUGGCUGAAAAACCUCUUGAUUAUCUUUCCAUCACAAAGGCCUGUGCCAUUACGCAGACCUAGGCCACUUGCCGAAACAGAACGACAACGGAAGAGUCCAGUUUUCCCUGGAUCAUUGUUGUUUAUUUUCACGAGUGAAGAUGAAUUUCGUGGCCGUGCAGACAUAUAUCUGUCAUCUUGUAAUAACAUUUUUUUUCGUCUCAAUCAGACCAACGUCUUCAAAAAGCAUCAAUGGUUUAUGUCUACAAGGAAAUAACUUGAUGUUGGAGUUGUAUACGUAGUUAUUUACCAAUUUCGCACUUUUCCAACCGUUUUCAAGACGGUUGCUGACAUCUCCUAUACGUUACCAGAUCUCUGCCAACCGUCACCGUGAUAGACAAAGAAACCAAAAAAGUAUGAACAGCAGAUGCAACUAUCC